UACGGAGGAGGCAAGCGUUAUCCGGAAUUACUGGGCGUAAAGCGUGCGCAGGCGGUUGGUUAAGUCUGAUGUGAAAGCCCCGAGCUCAACUUGGGAAUGGCAUUGGAAACUGGCUGGCUAGAGUGUGGCAGAGGGGGGUGGAAUUCCGCGUGUAGCAGUGAAAUGCGUAGAGAUGCGGAGGAACACCGAUGGCGAAGGCAGCCCCCUGGGCUGACACUGACGCUCAGGCACGAAAGCGUGGGGAGCAAACAGG
rnacentral:rRNA from 1 species